rnacentral:rRNA from 1 species
CCCUUAGAUGUUCUGGGCCGCACGCGCGCUACACUGAUGCAUUCAACGAGUCUAAAACCUGCUCUGAUAGGGGUGGGUAAUCUUUUGAAUGUGCAUCGUGAUUGGGAUAGAUGAUUGCAAUUUUUCGUCUUCAGCGAGGAAUGCCUAGUAAACGCAAGUCAUCAGCUUGCAUUGAUUACGUCCCUGCCCUUUGUACACACCGCCCGUCGCUCCUACCGAUUGAAUGAUCCGAUGAAUAUCAUGGAUUGAGGAUGCAAGCAGGUUCGCCUGUCUUCAUCUUCGAGAAGUGAAGUAAAUCUUAUCAUUUAGAGGAGGGAGAAGUCGUAACA